UCAAGCUAUAAAGAGCGCAGGGUGGAUGCCUUGGCACUAAGAGCCGAUGAAAGACGUGAUAAGCUGCGAAAAGCUUCGGGGAGGAGCAAAUAUCCAUUGAUCCGGAGAUAUCUGAAUGGGGAAACCCGGCUGAGCAACCCUCAGUCACCGUACAGUGAAUCCAUAGCUGUGCGGAGGGAACCCGGUGAACUGAAACAUCUAAGUAGCCGGAGGAAAAGAAAGAAACAUCGAUUCCGGGAGUAGCGGCGAGCGAAACCGGAAGAGCCUAAACCAGCGUGCGUGCAUGCUGGGGUUACGGACUGCAUAAGUGAGCUGAUUCGUUAAUGGAACGGGCUGGGAAGCCCGGCCGGAGAGAGUGAGAGCCUCGUACAUGAAAGCGAUAGGCAGCGGCAGGAUCCAGAGUACCGCGGGACACGAGAAACCCUGCGGGAAGUCGGAGGGACCACCCUCCAAGGCUAAAUACUCCUUAGUGACCGAUAGCGCAUAGUACUGUGAAGGAAAGGUGAAAAGGACCCCGGGAGGGGAGUGAAAGAGAACCUGAAACCAUAUGUUUACAAGCUGUGGAACCGCUUUCUAUGCGGAACCGCGUACUUUUUGUAGAACGGUCCGGCGAGUUACGCUGGCUGGCGAGGUUAAGGGCUGAAGGCCUGGAGCCGAAGGGAAACCAAGUCUGAAGAGGGCGAAAUAGUCAGUCGGAGUAGACCCGAAACCGGGUGAUCUAUCCAUGUCCAGGUUGAAGUUGCCGUAAAAGGCAAUGGAGGACCGAACCCACAUCCGUUGAAAAGGGUGGGGAUGAGGUGUGGAUAGGGGAGAAAUUCCAAUCGAACCCGGAGAUAGCUGGUUCUCCUCGAAAUAGCUUUAGGGCUAGCCUCAUAUUAGUUUAGCGGAGGUAGAGCACUGAAUUCCUAAGGGGGCGUCAAAGCUUACCAAGGGAUAUCAAACUCCGAAUGCCGCAUAAAUGAUGUAUGGGAGUCAGACUGCACGAGAUAAGUUGGGUAGUCAAAAGGGAAAGAGCCCAGACCUACAGCUAAGGUCCCAAAGUGUGUGUUAAGUGGAAAAGGAUGUGGGAUUUCAAAGACAACUAGGAUGUUGGCUCAGAAGCAGCCACACAUUCAAAGAGUGCGUAAUAGCUCACUAGUCGAGAGGUCCUGCGCCGAAAAUGUCCGGGGCUGAAACACAACACCGAAGCUUAGGAAUGUAUGUAAGUACAUUGGUAGAGGAGCAUUCUUAGUGCGGAGAAGCGGUACCGAUAAGGAGCCGUGGAGCGUUAAGAAGAGAGAAUGCCGGAAUGAGUAGCGAGAUGGAGGUGGGAAUCCUCCAGGCCGAAUAUCCAAGGUUUCCAGAGUAAAGCUGAUCUGCUCUGGGUAAGUCGGGGCCUAAGGCGAGGCUGAAAAGCGUAGCCGAUGGACAACAGGUUGAGAUUCCUGUACCGCGUAUCAUCAGAACUGUGGGGACACAGAAGGACAGCACAUCCCGGGAAUGGGAAGACCGGGGCAAGCAGGGUAGGAGUUAAACAGGCAAAUCCGUUUAGCAAUCCGAAGCUGUGAUGCGGAGCGAACAGAAGUAGCGAAGUGUGCGAUUCCAGCUGUCAAGAAAAGCCGCUAUUGUGUGAUACGUGCCCGUACCGUAAACCGACACAGGUAGAUGAGGAGAGAAUCCUAAGGCCGGCGGGAGAAGCAUUGUUAAGGAACUCGGCAAAAUGACCCCGUAACUUCGGGAGAAGGGGUGCCACAGAGAUGUGGCCGCAGAGAAUAGGCUCAAGCAACUGUUUAGCAAAAACACAGGUCUAUGCAAAACCGUAAGGUGAGGUAUAUGGGCUGACGCCUGCCCGGUGCUGGAAGGUUAAGAGGAGAGGUUAGCGCAAGCGAAGCUUUGAAUUUAAGCCCCAGUAAACGGCGGCCGUAACUAUAACGGUCCUAAGGUAGCGAAAUUCCUUGUCGGGUAAGUUCCGACCC
rnacentral:rRNA from 1 species